UGGCUUAGCGCGGUCGGGCACGGGUUUGCGGCUCUUGGUUACGAGCAAGGGGCAGAGUGGCACUUCUGCGGGCAGCUCUGCCUUCGAGAGGGGCGUGUUUGGCCAUCCCAAGGGCCCUUCACGGGGAGCUCGCUCUGGGCGUGAGGUCAGAUCCUCGGUCUAGGCCCUGGGCCCUGGGCCCUGGGCCCUGAGCGGGAGGGCCCCGAAAGGAACCUUUGGCUGUGAGGACCAGGCCCAUCUCUCCCUCCCCCGUGUGGCUUUCGUGUAGGACUACCAAGGGCUCCCUGCUCCCUGCCUUGGGGAGAACGAGGCAAGGGCACUCAUCCUCAUGGCUUUCUUGUGGUAAAGGCAGGCAGGCUAGGAGGCCCCCACAGGGCGAAGGAGCCACAGGAUGUGGAGUGCCAGCCUUGGAGGUGCAGCCCUCUGAGGUGGCCACGAUGAUGAGCGGCCUUGCUUUUGCCCAGUUGGACAGGAGAUGGCCUUGCUUCUCUUUUCCUUUCCUUGGCUCCUUUUCUGUUUUUCUGGGUCCUUUUUCUUUUUUUGCUUUUCGCCUUUUUUUUUUUUUUUUUUUUCUCUGAGCAAAGGGCGGAGGGAGAGGACUUUUGGGGUGUGGGGGGAAGGGCAGGCUGCCAUUUCUGGUGCAAUACCGCCAUCCAGAGGAAUGGCUCCGCCAGUCCUGCGAACUCUGGACUGUCCCUUCCUGGGGAGGAGUGACAGGGGCCUGCAGUCGGGGACCGGGGACUGUGUCCCGGGGAAGUCUGUCCAGAGCUCCGCCGGGGAAGGGGCGGGAAGCGUGGCCCAGGGCCCGGAGGGGCCGUGGGAGCUCCAGAGACCAGCCCCGGGCACCGGGACGAGGCCCAUGGUCCGGGCGCCCGGCCCGUGGGGCACAGGAAGUGGAGUCUCGGGCCACCCUGGUGGCCGCCAUGUCUGGGCGGGGCUAGAGGAAGCUGCUCAGAAGGAGCCUGGGCCCUGGGCUGGGGAGCUGCGGGCGCUUGGCGGCUCGCCCCUUCCCCUGGAAGGCAGAGCAGCCUUGGCCUGGGCGGGCCCAGGGCCUCUGAAGCCGCGCUGGCGCUGGCGCUGGCUCUCGCUCACGCUCUCACUCACGCUCACGCUCACGGGUGGGGCCCAGCCGGAGACCACCGCGGGCAGCUGGGCUUCUGCUGCCAUUGGCUGCAGCGGCAGAGGCGAGCUCCAGUGACUCCUUCCUGUCCAGCUCAGAGAUGGCAUGGGGAGCCUGGGGACCCUGUGCCAAAGGGGCCCGAGGCCCAGCAAAGGCCGGAGGUCCCAGUCCAGAAGGGAAGGGCCCCUCCCGGGACCAGGGAGCCGCCUCAGAAGGAGCCCUGGGCCCGAGUCCGAAAGGCAGCUCCCAGGGUCUCCAGGAUUCUGUCCAGAGGGCUCCCGGACCCACCUCUGAGAGAGGAGGGGAGAGGAGCGGAGCCGAGCGGACCCCCGUGGCCCUGCGCUUGCAGGCUUGGGCUUUUGUCCCCAAGAGGCUCUGGGCCUCUCACUGCAGCGAUGGGAAGGAACGGCCCUGGCUUCCACUCAGCCCCGGCUCUCCAGGCCUCAACCCCGUGCUUGCCCCUGCCGCCCAGCCCGGGGGUCGAGUGGAGGCCUGAGGAUGCUGCCUGAAGCUCACCUCUGUUGCACUGAGAGAAACACCCCGCCCUCCCCCUGUCCCGCACGACCACCGCCACCUCAUGCAGCUUGGCCGCCAGGGCCAGGAACGAGGUGCAUCGUGUACUCCUGGGCGCAGGGCCGCGCCUUCUGGUCCCCGACAGUCCCGAUAGGCCACUUGUGGAGUGAGCUCCGGGUUGGCUCGUUCCUGCCCUUUGCCCAGCGCUUAAUUGCCUGGGCUUUGGCCGGGCAGUGGCCGGCGGUGGUGAGGGGGGUGGGGAUGGACGUGGCGGCGCGGGCAAGGCUGGAUUGGUGGGUGUCAGGCAGAGUGGAAGGAGAGGAGGAGAAGGGAAGUCGGGGACGUCGGUCAUGUCUAGGCGCUGGUGUUCUGGGGUGUCAGGCAGAGUGGAAGGAGAGGAGGAGAAGGGAAGUCGGGGACGUCGGUCAUGUCUAGGCGCUGGUGUUCUGGGUGAGUGAGUGCCCUUUGUUCUCUUCCUUCUCCUCUUCCAAAAGGGUUCAUUUCAUCACAGGAAAAGGUCAGUGGUUCUGGUGGUUCAGCAAGCCUCAAGAAGGGGAGACUCCCAAGGUAGGUCCGUGGCACGGGGCCACCGGCGUACCGUGCCGGAGUUUUCCGGCUUGAUAGCAGAGGCUCUCGGGCCAGGUCCCGCUUGCGGAGCCGGAAGAAGGAGAUGUGUGGACGAGCAUCUAGCUCAUCUGUGUGCGUUACCCUAGGCGCUCAGUACCUGGAAUUUGA